GCAACUUAAGCCAACAUUUGCAUGACUCCGGUGAGACAACAAGCAUUCUCUAGAUCAUUCCAAGUGGUAAUGGGCACCCUAUAAUGGUAGCCUAACAAUACUUGUUUCCAGGGAAGGAUCCAUUGCCAUGGUGUACUAGGGUACAAAUUGCCCUUGAUUCCGCUAGAGGCCUUGAAUAUCUGCAUCAUUUUACUGUUCCUGCUUAUAUUCAUCUUGAUGUUAAGCCAGCAAACAUAUUAAUUGACAAGAACUACCAUGGAAAGGUUGCAGAUUUUGGAUUGGCAAAACUAAAAGAUUUGGAUAGAAACGCACUGCCGAGCACACGUCAUCUUGUGGGUACAUUUGGAUACAU
rnacentral:misc_RNA from 1 species